AUUGAACGCUGGCGGCAGGCCUAACACAUGCAAGUCGAACGGUAACAGGAAACAGCUUGCUGUUUCGCUGACGAGUGGCGGACGGGUGAGUAAUGUCUGGGAAACUGCCUGAUGGAGGGGGAUAACUACUGGAAACGGUAGCUAAUACCGCAUAACGUCGCAAGACCAAAGAGGGGGACCUUCGGGCCUCUUGCCAUCGGAUGUGCCAAGAUGGGAUUAGCUAGUAGGUGGGGUAACGGCUCACCUAGGCGACGAUCCCUAGCUGGUCUGAGAGGAUGACCAGCCACACUGGAACUGAGACACGGUCCAGACUCCUACGGGAGGCAGCAGUGGGGAAUAUUGCACAAUGGGCGCAAGCCUGAUGCAGCCAUGCCGCGUGUAUGAAGAAGGCCUUCGGGUUGUAAAGUACUUUCAGCGGGGAGGAAGGGAGUAAAGUUAAUACCUUUACUCAUUGACGUUACCCGCAGAAGAAGCACCGGCUAACUCCGUG
rnacentral:rRNA from 1 species